GAUGAACGCUGGCGGCGUGCCUAAUACAUGCAAGUCGAGCGAAUGGAUUAAGAGCUUGCUCUUAUGAAGUUAGCGGCGGACGGGUGAGUAACACGUGAGUAACCUGCCCAUAAGACUGGGAUAACUCCGGGAAACCGGGGCUAAUACCGGAUAACAUUUUGAACCGCGUGGUUCGAAACUGAAAGGCGGCUUCGGCUGUCACUUAUGGAUGGACCCGCGUCGCAUUAGCUAGUUGGUGAGGUAACGGCUCACCAAGGCAACGAUGCGUAGCCGACCUGAGAGGGUGAUCGGCCACACUGGGACUGAGACACGGCCCAGACUCCUACGGGAGGCAGCAGUAGGGAAUCUUCCGCAAUGGACGAAAGUCUGACGGAGCAACGCCGCGUGAGUGAUGAAGGCUUUCGGGUCGUAAAACUCUGUUGUUAGGGAAGAACAAGUGCUAGUUGAAUAAGCUGGCACCUCGACGGUACCUAACCAGAAAGCCACGGCUAACUACGUGCCAGCAGCCGCGGUAA
rnacentral:rRNA from 1 species